rnacentral:rRNA from 1 species
GAUGAACGCUGGCGGCGUGCCUAACACAUGCAAGUCGAGCGGCAGCGCGAGUAGUUUACUACUUGGCGGCGAGCGGCGGACGGCUGAGUAACGCGUGGGAACAUACCCCAAAGUGAGGGAUAACUGCCCGAAAGGGUAGCUAAUACCGCAUAUGAUCUUCGGAUUAAAGGAUUUAUCCGCUUUGGGAGUGGCCCGCGUCGGAUUAGGUAGUUGGUGAGGUAAAGGCUCACCAAGCCGACGAUCCGUAGCUGGUCUGAGAGGAUGAUCAGCCAGACUGGGACUGAGACACGGCCCAGACUCCUACGGGAGGCAGCAGUGAGGAAUCUUCCACAAUGGGCGAAAGCCUGAUGGAGCAACGCCGCGUGCAGGAUGAAGGCCUUUCGGGUUGUAAACUGCUUUUAUAAGUGAGGAAUAUGACGGUAACUUAUGAAUAAGGAUCGCUAAUCA